rnacentral:rRNA from 1 species
AUGCCAAAAGGGUAUGGGAUUGACACGUUGCCACACUUGUCAGGGCACCCCGGCAACGCUAUGGAGAUCCCAGAAGUGGUUGCAGAUAGCGCCGCCACUUUGAAGGCGAUGAGAAUCAGGAGGAUGAAUGCUUCUUUCAUGGUUGGAAACUUGGUGGUUACUUCCUGCGGCGCUGUCUUUCUAACUUGCCAACUUAGGCAACGGUAUCCCAUUUUCCUUCGUUGCUAUCUGAUUGUGUACCCUAGGCUUGAUAGACCAUGGAUCCUCAGACUGGUGCUUAUGUAUGAGCUACUAUUUACAGUUGAUUUGUAUAAUUGUUGA